GUGUCGCAGCGAAAGCGAUAAACACACCGCCUGGGGAGUNCGACCGCAAGGUUAAAACUCAAAUGAAUUGACGGGGACCCGCACAAGUAGUGGAGCAUGUGGUUUAAUUCGAAGAUACGCGCAGAACCUUACCAACACUUGACAUGUUCGUCGCAACUCUAAGAGAUUAGAGUUUUCGGUUCGGCCGGACGAAACACAGGUGCUGCAUGGCUGUCGUCAGCUCGUGUCGUGAGAUGUUGGGUUAAGUCCCGCAACGAGCGCAACCCUCACUUUUAGUUGCCAUCAUUUAGUUGGGCACUCUGAAAGAACUGCCAGUGAUAAGCUGGAGGAAGGUGGGGANGACGUCAAGUCCUCAUGGCCCUUACGUGUUGGGCUACACACGUGCUACAAUGGUAUCUACAACAGGAAGCAAGACUGCGAGGUCAAGCAAAUCCUUAAAAGAUACCUCAGUUCGGAUUGCACUCUGCAACUCGAGUGCAUGAAGCUGGAAUUACUAGUAAUCGUGGAUCAGCGUGCCACGGUGAAUGCGUUCCCGGGUCUUGUACACACCGCCCGUCACACCAUGGGAGUUGGUUCUACNUUAAGGCAAGGUUUAAAACCCUUGACCACGGUAUAGUCAGCGACUGGGGUGAAGUCGUAACAAGGUAACCGUA
rnacentral:rRNA from 1 species